GACGAACGCUGGCGGCGUGCCUAAUACAUGCAAGUAGAACGCUGAAGCGAGGAGCUUACUCUUCUUGAUGAGUUGCGAACGGGUGAGUAACGCGUAGGUAACCUGCCUUGUAGCGGGGGAUAACUAUUGGAAACGAUAGCUAAUACCGCAUAACAAUGGAUGACACAUGUCAUUUAUUUGAAAGGGGCAAUUGCUCCACUACAAGAUGGACCUGCGUUGUAUUAGCUAGUAGGUGAGGUAAUGGCUCACCUAGGCGACGAUACAUAGCCGACCUGAGAGGGUGGUCGGCCACACUGGGACUGAGACACGGCCCAGACUCCUACGGGAGGCAGCAGUAGGGAAUCUUCGGCAAUGGGGGCAACCCUGACCGAGCAACGCCGCGUGAGGGAAGAAGGGUGUCGGAUCGUAAAGCUCGGUUGUAAGUCAAGAACGGGUGUGAGAGUGGAAAGUUCACACUGUGACGGUAGCUUACCAGAAAGGGACGGCUAACUACGUG
rnacentral:rRNA from 1 species